rnacentral:rRNA from 1 species
AAUCUGGCGUCUUCGACGUCCGAGUUGUAAUCUCGAGAAGUGUUUUCCGUGAUAGACCGCAUACAAGUCUCUUGGAACAGAGCGUCAUAGUGGUGAGAACCCAGUACACGAUGCGGAUGCCUAUUACUUUGUGAUACACUUUCGAAGAGUCGAGUUGUUUGGGAAUGCAGCUCAAAUUGGGUGGUAAAUUCCAUCUAAAGCUAAAUAUUGGCGAGAGACCGAUAGCGAACAAGUACCGUGAGGGAAAGAUGAAAAGCACUUUGGAAAGAGAGUUAACAGUACGUGAAAUUGUUGGAAGGGAAACACAUGCAGUGAUACUUGCUAUUCGGGGCAACUCGAUUGGCAGGCCCGCAUCAGUUUUUCGGGGCGGAAAAUCGUAGAGAGAAGGUAGCAGUUUCGGCUGUGUUAUAGCUCUUUACUGGAUUCGCCCUGGGGGACUGAGGAACGCAGCGUGCUUUUAGCAUGAGCUUCGGCUUAUCCACGCUUAGGAUGCGGGUUUAUGGCUGUAUAUGA